GGAGGCAGCAGUGGGGAAUAUUGCACAAUGGGCGCAAGCCUGAUGCAGCCAUGCCGCGUGUAUGAAGAAGGCCUUCGGGUUGUAAAGUACUUUCAGCGGGGAGGAAGGCGAUGCGGUUAAUAACCGCGUCGAUUGACGUUACCCGCAGAAGAAGCACCGGCUAACUCCGUGCCAGCAGCCGCGGUAAUACGGAGGGUGCAAGCGUUAAUCGGAAUUACUGGGCGUAAAGCGCACGCAGGCGGUCUGUCAAGUCGGAUGUGAAAUCCCCGGGCUUAACCUGGGAACUGCAUUCGAAACUGGCAGGCUAGAGUCUUGUAGAGGGGGGUAGAAUUCCAGGUGUAGCGGUGAAAUGCGUAGAGAUCUGGAGGAAUACCGGUGGCGAAGGCGGCCCCCUGGACAAAGACUGACGCUCAGGUGCGAAAGCGUG
rnacentral:rRNA from 1 species